rnacentral:lncRNA from 1 species
AAGGUCAUUUGAAAAUACUGAGCUUCCUUUACUGUUUAAGUAACUGACUUGAAGUUAGUCAAGAGCAUUGCUUUGCUUCCAGUUCAUGCUGACCCUUUUUCCUUUUGCAGUCUGAACAUGACUGAGGUAAACUGAAGAUUGACUUUCCAGUUGUUGUCUAUUAUACCUCUAACAAGAGAGGGAUACAAGGCUUCUGUGUUGCUACAGAAAUUCUGGCACUGAAGAAAAGAGGACUUACCACUGCUCUGGAGUUUCUCUAGAUGGAGCUGCCUCAUGCUUCAGUGGAUUCUUCAGGAAAAACCUUAUGAAGAAUUUUAGGACUACGAUACUGUGAAAACUGACAAAGAUUGAAGCGCCUAAUGGGAAAGAUUUAGAAGGUUCAGCUACAUCAAGAAAACACAUAUCUAUAUAUUUGUCUAAUUGUAUGUGAAAGUUAUUUGAAUCCCAAUUGCUUUUCCUAAUUAAGGAUAUGAUGCUAGACUGUGUUCGUAAAGAACAGCUCUACUUUGACAUAGUAACAUAUAAAAAAUAAGGUAGACUUCUGUCCUUUUUCCAGUGAUAUUAUUGCACUUUUAUACUUUGAAGAGACUUGCUAGAAGGGCGGAGUGAUGCUUUAGUUGUGAUAUUCUUCCUCAUGAGGCUCAUGGAGGCUCAUAAGGCCCAGUCAAGAUAAUUCUGAAAAAUCACUUUUUUUUU